AUACGCGGUGCCCACUGCGGCAGCGAAUGUCACGUGUACAUUCGUAUGAAGAGAGAACAGCGUGGAACUCUAAGUACUCGGUGGUUGGUGACUGUCAGAUGCUGCUUCCUGAUGAAGAGGAGGUGGGCAGGCGGCCUGCCUCCAGCAGGGUGCAUCUUCUGCGACGCACCAUCAGCGUUCCAGUGGAAACUCAGUUCCCAGAAUUCCACACCCAGCUGUCCACAGAAAGCGGUGAGUAUCCUGAGGUUACAUCUGCGAUGGGUCUCACCAAACAUGCUCACAUUUACAUCCAUGGAUGGAUGGAUGGAUAGAUUUUCAAGAAUAAUUUCUUCAAGUGACAGAAAAGUUAAAAAAACAAACAAAAAAAACGUUCUUUUACUUUCUUUAACAUGUUCAUCUUGGAUUUAA
rnacentral:lncRNA from 1 species